rnacentral:lncRNA from 1 species
AGAGUCAUUGUGGGGGAGGGGGUGGGCCAGCCAGGGCAGGCAGGGACAGUCCUUCUGAUGAGGAGGCCACUGGGCUGAGACCAAUGAAUGAGACGGAGCCAGCCACGUGGUGAGCCAGAAGAGGGCAUCACAGUGUUCAGGUCCAUGAAAUGGGCUCCCUACGUCCAACCCCACAGACCCCAUAGGAAAGAGCAGAUGGAAUCUCCAAGGGCACCAGCUAUACAUGGUGGUGGAAGGACCAACAAGUGCUCUCAAUGCCACUGCAGACAACAGGGCUUGAGUCUGGGGGAGCCUGGCUGCCCAGAGGUGGCAGAUGACAUGAAGAAAUAACCAUGUAAGGGCUGGCUGUGUAUGAGAGCAAGCAUUGGGAAGGAUGAAUGCCAACUAUGUUCCAGGAACUUCUACUGUUCUCACACACCCAGAUGAGUGGUGUUCAGGUGGGUGGCACCCAGGUGAGUGGCACCCAGGUGGAUAGCAUCCAGGUGAGUGACACCUAGGUGAGUGACAUUCAGGUGAGUGGCAUCUGUGUGAGUGGCAUCAUCCAGGUGAGUAGCUUCCAGGUGAGUGGCACCCAGGUGAGUGGCAUUCAGGUGAGUGGCAUUAUCCAGGUGACACCUGGGUGAGUGGCAUCCAGGCGAGUGAUAUCAUCCAGGUAAGUGGCACCUGGGUGAGUGACAUCCAGGUGAGUGAUAUCAUCCAGGUAAAUGGCACCCAGGUGAGUAGCAUUCAGGUGAGUGAC